ensembl:lncRNA
UAGCCCAUUGUGGCAGAAUGCAUUGAAAAUAUGAAAUGUUCACAGAAGGGAGUUAAAGAAAACAAUCCUCUUUGUCCAGUGUAGAAAGGGUGAGGAGAAAUGGCGUUACCUGGCUUUGAUAAUCAAAGAAGUGUGACCUACCUGUUGCAUGUGAGAUGCAUAAACAACCCAACUAUGUUCUCUUUCUGCUGCUAACUUUGCUGAAAAGGAGCACAACACAAACAACUUUAAGGUGUAUAAGAAUUCAUUGUAACGAGAAUUCCAUCCUCAGCACUUCGAUUUCUGCUUCCUAAUUCUCUCUACAGGAGUUUACAGGCUCACCUUGUUUUAUUGCACUUCGCUUUAUUAUGCUUCUCAGAUACUGCGUUUUUCACAAGUCCCUCCACCAGCAAAAAGAUUUUUGACUCACUGAAGGCUGAGAUGUUGGUUGGCAUUUUUUAGCAAUCGGGUAUUUUUUAAUUAAGGUGUAUACAUUGUUUUUUUUACACAUAACGCUAUUGCAUAUUUAAUAGGCUAUAGGAUAGUGUAAACACAACCUUUACAUGCACUGGGAAACCAGAAAAAUUCAUGUGACUGGCUUUACUGCAAUUGCAGUAGUCUGAAACAGAACCUGCACUAUCUCCUAGGUAUGCCUGUAUAUCUUUGCAAAAUUGUUUUUCCCCCUGUGCUUCUCUUUUUUCUAAGUUGUUAAUUCUAAGUUGUUACUAUUUUUAUAUAGAGGGUGAUUUUUUGUCCUUAGGGUGUUUACUGGGCUUAAGCAAGUUUGUUGCCUGAGGACAAAAUGACCUCAGACAGAAGUUUAAGAAUAGACAUAAACCAGAAUUUUUGAAUUUGUAUCAGUUUGAAGUCUAACAAACAAAGCCGCCCUUUUAAUACCAACUAUAAAGGAAAGAAGGUCUACGUUUUUAUUCUUCUCAUAAGUGAGGGGCACAGGCUAACCUCAGGCACCUGACCAAUGCAGUCUACAUGCAGAUGACAUUUGCAGAAGCUUCUGAGAGGGAAAGAUGAUGAUUUCUUUGUGUGCUGUGGCAUUCAUUCUGUGGUUCCUCUAGUAGAUGUUCUGUCGUCGUGGGGGCUGUGAGUGGGGAGGGCUAAAACGUGCAUUGUCAGAGGGAAGAAAAUGUUCAUAUUUCAUAGCGGGAUUAAGAUAAGCUUAUUAAAUAUUUUUUAAAAUCACUGCUUUGUUAUUAUGAACACUAAUGACAUCUUUUAAAGUUGGUUAGGCUUCUUUACCGAGAGGGAGUCACUUGAACAGACAAUUCAAGCAGCAAAAAUUACACACAUUGUGAAAAAUAAGUCAGCCAGAUUAACAAAUAACUGUUAUUAUGUCUAGCUUAUAUAUAUACCAAGGUAACAAAUGGCAGUGCUCGAGGACUGUUCCUUCCACACUGUUAGGUACAAAUGUGAAUCUGAAUUCAGGAUUAGUGAGGUUGUCACUUGAAACCAUGGAAAAAAGAUAAGGUCUGCCUCCCCUCUGGCACUUUGUGAGAUUAGUACUAUUAUAAUUUACCUUAAGACAAGAAGAAACGUUCUGUUGUGACUCCAAGCUCGGGCUUAACUCCUCUAGCACCUCCACCUUUUAUUCUCACAUGCUCAGGUACUCAGCCCUAAUGGAUAGAACUUUAAGAUGCCUCUCCCUCGUUUUCUGGCAAAAAAAUAAUUGUAAAAAGAGAGAUAGGUAGAACCACCCCUACCUCAAAAAUAUAGCACUCAUUUCGAUUCUAGAUUUUUCAGCUGGUUCGUUGAAAUUCAAGAUAGUUUAUUAAAGAAUAUAGGUAGAAUUUGGUUAACUUGCUCAGGAAAUGUAAAUGAGAAAAUGUGUCAAAUACAAAUAAGACUUAUUUAGCCAUGACUUGAUUCAUGGAAGUUGAAAAGGAAUUAGGAUACUAUUUUAACCUGCUUUUUGUUAUUGAGUGCUUAAAUUAAACACAUCCAUCCUGACAUGAUGGGAGGAUUGAGGCUUUGCCCUCUGACCACCUAUGAAUAGAAAACUCAACUGUAAAAUUAAAGCAGAAAAUAAAAACUACCUGGAAUUUUUCACACAGUACUGUUGCUCCUGCCCUGUUGGCUUUUUCAUCUCCUUUUUUCUCCUGAUAUGUGUCUUCUUAAAAGUGCCAUUAAAUGGUAAGUUCCCCCAUUUGCCCCAUGGAAAAGGUGUGGAGGGAAUGGGGGCAUGUGUCUUAUCUGUAGCUUCUGACAAAACCAGCUGGUUCUGCUCUGUGUUGGCCUGCAUGUUAGCUCUUGUAGAACAUUCCAUGCAUGAAGUGUGGGUCUGCUCUGCAAUAUUUUGUCAAGCUUUCUGAUCCUGGAGUGUGCACAGUGACUCAUCAGUCUAAAGUUCUGUUUUCUUUUUCCGCUUUGCUUCCAUUUCAUGUAUCAAGUCCACAUUUUCAUUGCUAGCUUUAUAAGCCAAGCCAUUUUGACCAUUUUACUUUUGCUCACAGAACAUUUGUACAGAGUUCAUUUACUUCAUCAUGCAAACUAGUUAGCUUAUCUUUGGAAGAAUACGUGACUGGUUUUAUCAGGUCUUGAUGAAGUUUCAGAUUGAAACUUCUAUAAACGUUAGCACCCAAAAGCUAGAGGGUUCUUACCGCAUAGUUUUGUGAAAGCAAUAUAUCAUUUAGACUGCUUUGUAAAAACAAAACUUUUUGCCUCAUUCCUAUCAGUAUUGCCAGUUUCAUUUAGAUUUGUAAACAUUGAACUUUUCCUCUUUGCUGAGCCAUCGUAAGGAUUAGUGCAGCCAUAGGUUGAGGGGAUGUCAGCAGCAGCUUCUUAGCGUUCUCAGUGACCCUGAUGUAUCCCGUUAGUUCUCCCUCACUUUCUCUCUACCUUCUUUUCCUAAAUGACCACACGAUGGCCACUGAGAUGAGCACUUUGGUGCAUUCCCACACUUAGAAGAAUCACGAGCCGGCUGACGUGCGCUGACAGACUGGGAAGCUUCACCCCGCUAUCCAGGUGGCAGACCGGCGUCAACAUCACACAGAUGAAGUGUUUAGAGGGCUGCGGCUUAAAGGAGGGAUAUGAAGUGACCAUGAGCUUCGGGCCAGGGCUCCUUCUCAGCCCUCCGGGGCCUGAUGCCAGGGACUGUGCUCCCAGCUUAUUCAGCCAGCAGUGGGACCGCAUGAAGGCUGGCAGGAAAGGACCAGACAUUUCAUCCAUGGAUCCAUUUCCUUCCGGCUGUAAGACUUAUUACCUGGAAGCUAAACAAUCAAGUGACAUUGCUUUUGGUCCAUAUCAUCUGAGAAUGACAUAUAGCAGCCAUCUGUUAUAGGCAUGAGGGUGUGAGAGAUAUCAAGAAGAGGCAAUAAUCAGGGGUUUUUUUGUGUGUGGUGGCCAGUUUUUUUUCUCAUUGAGAUUUUAAAAUAGCUCAAGAGAAGUGCUUGUUUCAAAUAGAAGAUAACUUAAAAAGGAUUGGAAGCCAAGAUGCUGAUGUGGAGGAACAGACUGUCCCAGUGGAAUAGAAUGCAAACUACACCCUUGUUCUGGCUAAUAAGAAAGGAAAGUGCCUUCCACCUAUAUAAAAGAGAUUAUCCUGGAAAUAGAUACUGCAAAUAUUGAGAAUUUUGAGAGUAUUAGGGAUGAAUUAUGUUUUAAAACAAAAAAAAUUAUGGAAAGGAAAGGAACUAUAAAUUAUUAGUUAUCCAGACUUUAAACUUUCCUAGGAAAUAAUUUU